CGUAGGGUGCGAGCGUUAAUCGGAAUUACUGGGCGUAAAGCGUGCGCAGGCGGUUUUGUAAGCCAGAUGUGAAAUCCCCGGGCUUAACCUGGGAAUGGCAUUUGGGACUGCAAGGCUUGAGUUUGGCAGAGGAGACUGGAAUUCCCGGUGUAGCAGUGAAAUGCGUAGAUAUCGGGAGGAAUACCGAUGGCGAAGGCAGGUCUCUGGGCUAUAACUGACGCUCAUGCACGAAAGCGUGGGGAGCAAACAGGAUUAGAUACCCUGGUAGUCCACGCCCUAAACGAUGUCGACUGGUUGUUGGGGGUUUGACACUCUCAGUAACGAAGCUAAACGCGUGAAGUCGACCGCCUGGGGAGUACGGCCGCAAGGUUA
rnacentral:rRNA from 1 species